UUUUACAAGCUUUCUGCCUAAUCAAGCUUCAUGCGUGAUCGACUACAGCAAAAAGGUAACCUUCAUGUAAUAAAAUAAAUUUAAAAUCUAUUUAUGAAUACUAUUAUGUUAAAAAGUUAUACAAAUGAUAUUCAAAUUUUUUGCAAUUCAAGCUUAAGUCUGUAGUGUCGAGUUCUCCUAUGAUAGUUUAAGGUAGCACACUAAAAUCAUGUUUUACAGUACAACAUGCCCAUAUUAAUUUCCUUUUUUUUUUUUACCUUAAGAAGACGUAGAAGUGUAGC
rnacentral:lncRNA from 1 species